AAAUUGAAGAGUUUGAUCAUGGCUCAGAUUGAACGCUGGCGGCAGGCCUAACACAUGCAAGUCGAACGGUAGCACAGAGGAGCUUGCUYCUUGGGUGACGAGUGGCGGACGGGUGAGUAAUGUCUGGGAAACUGCCCGAUGGAGGGGGAUAACUACUGGAAACGGUAGCUAAUACCGCAUAACGUCGCAAGACCAAAGAGGGGGACCUUCGGGCCUCUUGCCAUCGGAUGUGCCCAGAUGGGAUUAGCUAGUAGGUGGGGUAACGGCUCACCUAGGCGACGAUCCCUAGCUGGUCUGAGAGGAUGACCAGCCACACUGGAACUGAGACACGGUCCAGACUCCUACGGGAGGCAGCAGUGGGGAAUAUUGCACAAUGGGCGCAAGCCU
rnacentral:rRNA from 1 species